AUACCACCGAACACAUGACCAAGAACACAGAAAAACAAACAAAUGGAUGGGAAAACUAUGAGUUGUUUUUUUAUUGUGCUUUUGCUCGUAGGAAUUUACACUCUGGCUGAGAACUGCCACAACCAUCGUAUUGGAGACAUGCUAUGCAAGGAUUUGUCAUGCUUGGGGGAUUGUGAAAGUUCUUAUUUUCCAAAGAAAGUUAAGGAAGCUUUUUGCGUAGGCAAGUUCCUCGCUCGCAAAUGUGUAUGUGUCAUAUGUGACUAGAAUUACAGUAUGGUUAUGGAUGCAUAUAGCAUCAAGUGACCGGAAUAAAAUUUAUAUAUGAGCAAGAAAGAUUAUAAUAUAUAUUUAAACAACAUCAAAUUAA